GAUGAAGAACGUAGCGAAAUGCGAUACUUGGUGUGAAUUGCAGAAUCCCGUGAACCAUCGAGUCUUUGAACGCAAGUUGCGCCCGAAGCCAUUUGGUUGAGGGCACGUCUGCCUGGGCGUCACAUAUCGUUGCCCGAUGCCUAUCGCACUGUGAUAGGAAAUUCUAGGGCGAAAGAUGGCUUCCCGUGAGCGUUGUUGCCUCGCGGUUGGUUGAAAAUUGAGUCCUUGGUAGGGUGUGCCAUGAUAGAUGGUGGUCGAGUUUGCACGAGACCGAUCAUGUGUGCGCUCCCCAAAAUAUGGACUCUUUGACCCCACACGCGUCUUUUGACGCUCAUGACGAGACCUCAGGUCAGGCGGGGCUACCAGCUGAGUUUAAGCAUAUCAAUAAGCGGAGGA
rnacentral:misc_RNA from 1 species